rnacentral:rRNA from 1 species
GACGAACGCUGGCGGCGUGCUUAACACAUGCAAGUCGAACGAUGAAACCUAGCUUGCUAGGUCGAUUAGUGGCGAACGGGUGAGUAACACGUGACUAACCUGCCCCUUUCUCUGGGAUAACGCUCCGAAAGGAGUGCUAAUACCGGAUACUCACACCGAGGCACAUGCCUUGGUGUGGAAAGUUUUUCGGAAAGGGAUGGAGGCGCGGCCUAUCAGCUUGUUGGUGAGGUAACGGCUCCCCAAGGCGACGACGGGUAGCCGGCCUGAGAGGGCGACCGGCCACACUGGGACUGAGACACGGCCCAGACUCCUACGGGAGGCAGCAGUGGGGAAUAUUGCACAAUGGGCGCAAGCCUGAUGCAGCGACGCCGCGUGAGGGAUGAAGGUCUUCGGAUUGUAAACCUCUUUCAGUAGGGACGAAGCGAAAGUGACGGUACCUAAAGAAGAAGCACCGGCUAACUACGUGCCAGCAGCCGCAGUAA